CAGUAGCCACGGGAAUACAGAGGGUGCGAGCGUUAAUUGGAUUUACUGGGCGUAAAGCGUGCGUAGGCGGCUUUUUAAGUCGGAUGUGAAAUCCCUGAGCUUAACUUAGGAAUUGCAUUCGAUACUGGGAAGCUAGAGUAUGGGAGAGGAUGGUAGAAUUCCAGGUGUAGCGGUGAAAUGCGUAGAGAUCUGGAGGAAUACCGAUGGCGAAGGCAGCCAUCUGGCCUAAUACUGACGCUGAGGUACGAAAGCAUGGGGAGCAAACAGGAUUAGAUACCCCGGUAGUCCCUGUCUCUUAUAU
rnacentral:rRNA from 1 species